GGUUGGGUGGUGUAAUUGGUAAUACCCUUGCUAUAUAUGCAGAAGUUCUGGGUUCAACUCCCAGUCUGGCCA